rfam:Kwoniella mangroviensis CBS 10435 unplaced genomic scaffold supercont2.4, whole genome shotgun sequence.
UUACCCUCUCUGGCCUCUUUUGGCUAAGAUCAUGUGUAGUAUCUGUUCUUAACGCUGUAAGAAGCGUUAUGGGAAUACGUUCCCUUACUUCUUACCGAGUUUUUCGAGCCAGUGUUUGCCUCUUCAGCUUGCUGAACGCAGCACACGAUGUCGAUGCCACCGCACUACGGGCUUCUGAUGUCACGGCAA